CAUUAGCCCCGAUGGAAAUGUAAAUCCUUUUUGUUUUUAUUAACUAAAGACCUCUUUCUGGCAUUCAUUACCAAAAAAAAAAAAAAAAGAUUGAAGUGGACAGCGGGAAUGUUG
rnacentral:sRNA from 1 species